AGGGGUGUAGUUCCAAUUGGUAGAACGGCGGUCUCCAAAACCGACGGUUGGGGUUCGAAUCCCUCCACCCCUGCCA
rnacentral:tRNA from 1 species